UUCCCGCUGACGAGCGGCGGACGGGUGAGUAAUGCUUAGGAAUCUGCCCAGUAGUGGGGGAUAGCCCGGGGAAACCCGGAUUAAUACCGCAUACGUCCUACGGGAGAAAGCAGGGGAUCUUCGGACCUUGCGCUAUUGGAUGAGCCUAAGUCGGAUUAGCUAGUUGGUGGGGUAAAGGCCUACCAAGGCGACGAUCCGUAGCUGGUCUGAGAGGAUGAUCAGCCACAUCGGGACUGAGACACGGCCCGAACUCCUACGGGAGGCAGCAGUGGGGAAUAUUGGACAAUGGGGGCAACCCUGAUCCAGCCAUGCCGCGUGUGUGAAGAAGGCUUUCGGGUUGUAAAGCACUUUCAGUAGGGAGGAAAACCUUAUGGUUAAUACCCAUGAGGCUUGACGUUACCUACAGAAGAAGCACCGGCUAACUCCGUGCCAGCAGCCGCGGUAAUACGGAGGGUGCAAGCGUUAAUCGGAAUUACUGGGCGUAAAGCGCGCGUAGGUGGUUUGGUAAGCGAGAUGUGAAAGCCCCGGGCUUAACCUGGGAACGGCAUUUCGAACUGUCAGACUAGAGUGUGGUAGAGGGUAGUGGAAUUUCCUGUGUAGCGGUGAAAUGCGUAGAUA
rnacentral:rRNA from 1 species